UAUAUCAUUUAUAGACCCUCCGCUCGGAGUAUUUGGCGAAAUAUUACCCUCAGUGAUGAUAUUUCCAAAUAUUAUCACUUCGGGUAAUAUUUCGCUGAAUCCCCCGAGCGAAGAGUCUAUAAAUGAU